rnacentral:misc_RNA from 1 species
UGAUGAUACUUCCAGUGAUCCAGAAACUUCUGAUCAUUUCAUGGUAGAGAAUGGUCAUGCACUAAAUGGGGAUUACGAGGGUGAAAUUGGUUUUAUGAAUGGUUUCUCACAUAAUUUGCAUGGCACUGGAAAGCUUUUUGUCGAGAGGAGAAACUCGAGCUGUAGAGGAAAGAAGCUUCUUCCUCUCUUUGAUGCCAUAAGUUUUCAAAAGGAAGGGGUGCUAUGUACCAUGCCAGAGGAAACUGAUGCAGCAUCUGA